UCCUUGGUGGUCUAGUGGUUAGGAUUCGGCGCCCUCACUGCCACGGCCCAGGUUGAAUCCUGGUCAGGGAA